rnacentral:rRNA from 1 species
GACGGAGGAUGCAAGUGUUAUCCGGAAUCACUGGGCGUAAAGCGUCUGUAGGUGGUUUAAAAAGUCUACUGUUAAAGCUUGAAGCUUAACUUCAAAAAUGCCGUAGAAACUUUUAAACUUGAGUAUGGUAGGGGUAGAGGGAAUUUCCAGUGGAGCGGUGAAAUGCGUAGAUCUUGGAAAGACCACCAAUGGCGAAGGCACUCUACUGGGCCAUAACUGACACUACGAGACGAAAGCUAGGGGAGCAAAUGGG